rnacentral:rRNA from 1 species
AUGGCUUGUGAAGAACCAUCAAAGAUAGCCAACAUACCAUCGAUUGUGCAAGAGCUGGUGACUUGCGUACAGGAGCCACCAAGCCAGUAUGUGGUUCCUGAGCAAAACCGCCCAGACAUUGCCUGUUCCGAGAUGCCCGAUCCGAUCCCAAUCAUUGAUCUCAGCCGUCUGCCUGCCCCCGGUAACAGCUCUGAUGAGGUUGCCAAGAUGCAGUCCGCCUUGGAGAACUGGGGCCUCUUCCUGGCUGUCGGGCAUGGAAUAGAGCCAAGUUUUCUUGGUGAGGUGAUGAAAAUGACGAGAGAAUUUUACAAGCUCCCACUGGAAGAGAAGCAGAAGUACUCAAACUUGGUUGAUGGCCAGGAGUUCCGUAUGGAAGGAUACGGGAAUGAUAUAGUCGUAUCAGAGAAGCAGACCCUGGACUGGAGUGACCGGUUGUAUCUUGUAGUGGAACCGGAGUCCCGGAGAAUCUAUAGCAUGUGGCCCGCCCAUCCUCCUUUCAGAGAUAUUCUGUGCGAGUACACAGUAAGGUGCAGGGAGAUUGCCAGCCUUGUCCUCAGGCACCUGGCGAGGAUGCUCAAUUUACACGAGGACUACUUCGUCGAGAUGAUCGAAGAGGAUGCCAUCACAUACGCUAGAUUCAACUACUACCCUCACUGUCCCAAGCCGGACCAAGUCUUAGGCCUGAAACCCCACACUGAUGCCACUGUGAUCACCAUUGUCUUUAUCGAUGAUAGCGUCAGUGGGCUCCAGGUGCAGAAAAAUGGUGUCUGGCACAAGGUGCCAAUAGUUCCGAACGCAUUACUUGUGAACACAGGAGAUGCAAUGGAGAUACUUAGCAACGGGUUCUUCAAGAGCCCGGUUCACAGGGCUGUGACCAAUGCAGAGAAAGAUCGGGUGUCAUUGGUUAUAUUCUAUACUCCGGACCCGGAGAGAGAGAUUGAGCCAGCGGCAGAGCUGGUGGAUGAGAAGAGACCAAUGCAGUACAGGAAGAUAAAGACCAAGGACUAUCUUGUAAAACUCUUUGAAACUUUUGCAGAAGGGACACUAGUCAUCGACACAAUGAAGAUCUGA